rnacentral:tRNA from 1 species
GUUAGAUUGUGAAUCUAAAGUUAGAGACUCAAGCCCUCUUAUCUACC